rnacentral:rRNA from 6 species
GGUGGUUAUGGCGGAGCGGCUGCACCCGAUCCCAUUCCGAACUCGGCCGUGAAACGCUCCAGCGCCAAUGGUACUUUGUCUUAAGACACGGGAGAGUAGGUCGCUGCCAGGU